ensembl:snoRNA
AUCCUUUUGUAGUUCAUAAGUAUGAUGAGCAUACAUUAUUUCAUGGGCAUGAGUAAAUGUGCCUCCCACAAAUCUUAUAGCAUCAGCACAUUACCUGUCUGACA